rnacentral:lncRNA from 1 species
AUUGCUGCUACCAUGCUGUCUCAUUUCUGACAUGACAUUGGUCUCUUCCAAGUAAACAUUUAUCUUGUUCUUGUUUCUCUUCUCUUUAAUGAACAUUAUGGUAUUUUACAGGCACUGAGGAAUAAUGCAAUUAUUGCCACUCCAGUUAAUAAAAUAAUUCAGACAUUCACUCAUCCAUCUAUCCUUUCAAUUACUUAGUGCAUUGCAAAACAAAAGACAACUGACUGUAUAUGUCUAUAGACCACUCUGAGUAGGGCCCUGGGGAUGUGAUUUAUACUUAAAACCACAUAAUUUUAAGUAUUGGUUAAUUUUUUGUAAGCUCUUUUCUAAUACUCUUACUAGAAGACACCUGCUAGUUCCUGGAAUAAUAUAUACAGGAUUUGAUCAAGGGAAAUUAUGCUUAUUCUAUUGGUAGUCCAAGUCGUAGUUUUGCUAGAGGUAGCUUAAAGUUUUAGAUAUUCCCAAACUCAUUUUUUUUUAAUUCUUGGGAAACUUUCAGGUCAUUCAGUAUUUUUUUAAACCAUAUGCUCCAUCCAAAAGAUGGAAUCAUUCUCUUAUAUUAUAAAAAUCUAUGAUAGAGUAAAAUUAAAUUCCCCCCAAAUAUUCUACUUUGAUGAAAUUUUGUCAUACUUUCUAUAAUAGACAUAUUCCCAGUUUUGUGUCUUUUUUUUUAUUUCUUAAUUUUGUAAUUGCCUUACUAGAUGGUGCUGGCAGCCAGUGUUUUAGUGACAACUUUCAUUUUCAUAUUGUUAAAAAUAUGUACAAUGACUAGAAUAUCCUAUUAAAGAUAACAUUUAUAACAUCAUUUAGUAACAAAGACAAAGUACAUGCUUAUGUUCAGGUAAUGAUGUAGUGAAUAUGCUUGGAAAGUACAAUUUUGGAUAACUGCCUUAAAGAACAUUAAAGUUAACAUAAUUUAAUAGGGAAAAUACCUUGUGACAGUUAUCCUAAAAUCCCUCUAUGUAAAUUGGAAUUAAAAAUUCAGAGUUGGAUAGAUCCAAAUAUAGACUAUCCUGUAAAAAAUUGGAAACAUUAGAGAAUAAUAAUUUUCUACUCAAUGUAACAAUGGCAGUAUUUCUAAUAAGAAACAUUAAAUAUGUCUUCCAACAGAAGCAGAAAAUCUAGAAUGACUAAAUUAGUUUUAAAAUCUGUAUUUUGUUUGGAAAAUUCCUACUGAGGUACUUCCACUGCAAUUUAAAAGGAAGAGGUGUGUGCGUGUGGGCAUAUCACAGCUGUGCAUAGUUUGUUACAAGCCAUUUUUAGGCCAACUGGUCAGCCACAGCUGCCCAAGACUGGUUUAGAAAAUUAUAGGUCUUUAAUUUUUCACUCUCAAUUUUUUGCAAAAGUGCUGAGAAUGAGGCAUUCUUAAUUCGAUAUUCUUGAAGUUACUACAUAGGACACACAUAAGAGAGCUCAUAUCAUCACUGCUGUUUUCCAUUGUUGGAAAUAAGUCAGAUCAAGUUGAGGCAAACGGCUAAGGAGCUGGACUUAGAAUAAAAGCAAGGUUCUUUGGCAGAAAACACUUAGUGAAAGUUCUUUAGUGCAUGUCUUAAAUAUGGACCUCAAAAUGCAUUUUCCUGAAGACAAACACUUAUUACAAUAAGAACUCCAAGAUUUCCUACGCAGUGCAACUCCACAUUCUUUAUUUUGGACAUAGCAUUUCAAACUUUUUUUAAAGAAGCUAGACAGACUAUAACAUAGAGAAGUAAAUUAAGCUACCUAAGGAAACAAAAAAAUAUAUAUAUCAAAAAACAAAAACAAAAAACAAACAAAGAAAACAACCAGCAAAGCAAAUGCUGGAUCUUUUAUGAUUGGGGAAAAAAAAGAAUCUGGGUACUGGUAGAAGUUAUUGUUUGAUAUUUUCUGGUAUGUUUUCCCCCCUUUGGUUACGCAUCUAUGGUGGCUACUUGCUAUGUUCAGAUAUAGCAUAGUGGUCUUAAUAUUAUUAAAAUAAACAUGCUUUUAGCCUAAUUGGGCACUACAGAACUAUAGAACCAGAUGCUUCCUAAGAGAAGCAAGUGCAAAGCUUGCUUUGUGCAAUAAAACCUAAUGGCUUCAUGCAACAAAACUUAGAGUCCCAUACCUUGCCUUUUGUAGUGACCAUCUCUAUUUACACUUCUAAAACUUGAAAUGUCUAUAUCUCCAACAUCAAUUUGCAAUUGUAUAUAAACUAUAUAAUGUUCUUGGCUUGAAUGCUGAUUAAAACAUUUAUCAAAUUUAAAACAUUUAGAUAACUAAGGAUCUUGUUAUUAUUCCUUUGUAAAAUUCUAGGAGAAGGAAGUAAAAGAUGUUAAAAGCCUUAAAAAUGAUUAUUUAAAAAAAAAUAAAAAAAGAGUUCCCAUCAUGGCUGAGUGGUAAUGAACCUGAUUAGUAUCCAUGAAGAUGAGGUCAGUCCCCAGCCUCACUCAGUGAGUUAAGAAUCCGGUAUUGCCAUGAGCUGUGGUGUAGGUCGGAGACAUGGCUGGGAUCCUGCAUUGCUGUAGCUGUGGUGUAGGCGGGCAGCUGCAGCUCUGAUUCAACUCCUAGCCUGGGAACUUCCAUAUGCCGCAGGUAUGGCCCUGGAAAGACAAAAAACAAAACAAAACAAUGAUACUUAUCUUCUGAACCUUUGUAUAUUUUUAUGUGGUAUAAAAGCCAGAGGAGGUUCAAUCAUUAAUGCUGUGCCAUACCUAAGGGUGCUUGGGGUGUUGGGUAAUUGGGCUACAAUCGUCACUUGCCGUGAUGGAACUCACAGAUUACUUGAGAAUCUGCAGAGGGCAGCCAGCAACAAUAUACCAUGUUCAGACUUGUGGUAGAACUCAUCCUGUGGAACUGUGCUAUAGAAGACAAUUUGAAUACCAUUACUCUUGGUGUUCCCGUCGAGGUGCAGUGGUUAAUGAAUCCAACUAGGAACCAUGAGGUUGUGGGUUCGAUCCCUGGCCUUGCUCGGUGGGUUAAGGAUCCAGCGUUGCCAUGAGCUGUGGUGUGGGUCGCAGACGCGGCUCAGAUCCUGCAUUGCUGUGGCUCUGGUGUAGGCCGACGGCUGCAGCUCCGAUUCAACCCCUAGCCUGGGAAACUCCAUAUGCCUCAGGAGC